ensembl:lncRNA
UUUUUUUUUUUUAUUUGCAUCUUGUUCAGCUAGUGAUAUAAUCUUUGUACAAGUAUAUAUAUAUAUAUAUAUAUAUAUAUAUAUAUAUGAUAGAUAUAUUUGUUUAUAAUUAUUUUCGCAUUUUUUUUUUUCUUUUAUUUAUUUAUUUAUUUAUUUUUUGUAUAUUUUAUAAACUCUGCUGUUUUGUACCUAUAUAUACGUCCCUGUAUGUACAAAUUGUUUUUUUCUGAUUUAAAGUUUUGUUUUUGUUUUUUUUUGUCACUAUUUUGUAAAGUGAAUAUACAUUUUAUAUAUGUUAUGUUUUGUUUUUAUUGAACUAUUCAACUAUACAAACAUUCUGAAAAUUGCUAAUCAACCAAUUUAUCAAUUAUAAAAGUAAAAGACAAAAUGGUAAGUUGUGAGUAUGCCGCUGGAGUAGUUUCUGAACGUUUGGACAGUAUAAAAGAUUACGAUACUGGGAGAAAAUCGAAGUUUCACAUGUUCAAUUUUGUUAAUAAUAAUAAUAAUAAUAUUUAUGAUAUUUUACAUAAUUAUGGUGCAGAAAAUAAAAAUAACAUAUGUAAUAAAAAAGCUAAUAAAUAUGAUAGCAAGUAUAAUGAUAAUAACAUGCAGUAUGCUGGUUUGCCAUCAUUUAUUCAAAAUUCCGAGAAUACAAAAAGUAAAAGGAUAAAAUGUGACAUAAGUAGUCAUAGUGAUGUUAUGAAAAAUGUGAUUCAAUAUAAUAAAAAUGAUGAUCAUAAAAUAAAUAAUUCAAAAUACUUUUUUUCUAAUAAGGGUCAUGUAGUAACACCUAAAAGAAUUUUAACUAGACAUGUUAAUGAUAAUGAAAUAGAUAAAUAUUUUUAUACAAAAUAUGAUGUGACUGAUAAAUCCAGUGGAAGAACGGAAAUAAUGGUUGCAAGAAAAAGUGGUUGUUCUAAUGUUAUUGUUCAGAACUUUACAGAAUUUGAUGCAUAUGCAACUUAUAAAAAAAGAGAUAGCAAAAAAAAUAGGAGUGAAUCUGUUGUUUAUACGCACAUGGGAAUUAUGUCAAAAGAUGAUAGCAAUCUAAAAAAUAAGAGCAGUAAAGCACAAUCUGUGUUUACUAUUGCAAACAGAAGUGACAACAUAGCGCCAGAAAAAUAUUGGUUGUGCCCAAUUGCUGAAAGUGAAAGAAAAACAAAAAAAAAGGUAUAUAUGUAGGUAAAGGUUUUUACUUAACUAUUUAAUGUUUUUUUUUUUUUUUUUUUUAUAUUUAUUCUCAUUAUGUUAAUUAUUCUCAUUAUGUUAAUUAUUCUCAUUAUGUUAAUUAUUCUCAUUAUGUUAAUUAUUCUAAUUAUGUUAAUUAUGCUAAUUAUGUUAAUUAUGCUAAUUAUAUUAAUUAUGCUAAUUAUGUUAAUUAUGUUAAUUAUGCUAAUUAUAUUAAUUAUGCUAAUUAUAUUAAUUAUCCUAAUUAUAUUAAUUAUGCUAAUUAUAUUAAUUAUAGUAAUUAUGCUCAUGUAUGUCCACUACUUUUAUGUCCCCUUUUAUGUUGUCUUGUUUGACAUAAUAACAAAUAUACUUUAAAAAAAAUGAACUUUUUUUACAGAUAAUAUCAAAUAUAUAUAAAAUUUAAGUACAUCUGUGCUUUUAUUUGUACAAUGUAUUAUAUAUAAAUAAAAUUAAUAAUUGUACGUUUUUUUUUUUUUUU